GAGUUUGAUCCUGGCUCAGAUUGAACGCUGGCGGCAUGCCUUACACAUGCAAGUCGAACGGCAGCACGGGAGCUUGCUCCUGGUGGCGAGUGGCGAACGGGUGAGUAAUGCAUCGGAACGUAUCCUGGAGUGGGGGAUAACGUAGCGAAAGUUACGCUAAUACCGCAUAUUCUGUGAGCAGGAAAGCGGGGGACCUUCGGGCCUCGCACUCUUGGAGCGGCCGAUGUCGGAUUAGCUAGUUGGUGAGGUAAAGGCUCACCAAGGCGACGAUCCGUAGCAGGUCUGAGAGGAUGAUCUGCCACACUGGAACUGAGACACGGUCCAGACUCCUACGGGAGGCAGCAGUGGGAAUUUUGGACAAUGGGGGCAACCCUGAUCCAGCCAUGCCGCGUGAGUGAAGAAGGCCU
rnacentral:rRNA from 1 species